GGAUUGAUCGGUCACCGACGCUUCGAUGACCGGCGUCGCUGGAGCAGGCUUCUUCGGGGGGCGCGAAGGUCCGGCCCCCGACGCUGGCCUCUUCCUCACCGCGAACUGCCGUAUCUCCGCGUCCGUCAGCCGCAUUCUUGGAGGUGUCCCUGCAAUACCGACAAAGGUGUUAGCUAAAGGACCGGACUAAGGGUCGGAUGAAAAGGAGACCGGGAAAUCGGACGAUACC
rnacentral:lncRNA from 1 species